GCAAAGGACAGUGUGCUGGAGGAGAGACAAUCCUAGCGAAGAUUUCCUCCUUCACGCGCGCGCGCACACACACACACACACACACACCCGAUGAGGGCAGUCCCCUCUCUGUCCCUAGUUCUUAUUAUCUGGGUGUGACCCCUGGAACUGUGGCAGCCAUCUUGUGACUGUGCGGCCAAACACCCACUCCUUGAGGAUGCCAGAGGAAAAAGUGGGUCAGCCUAGAUCUUAUUGCUUGGCUGCUCUGUCCACUGACCUUGGAACUUAGAACUUUCUAGUACAUCAGAUAAUACGAAAUCUCAUUACUGCUCCAGACGCUAGGAGUUGCCACAGCUGGAAUCAUUCUACCCGACCCAGCCUUCCCGCCACUACCGUAAGCACUAGAUCUGUGCGUCUCAUUCAAAUGAAAUGCUAAGGAGCAAUUAAAUACACUCAUCAGACAAACUACAGUCGCUGGAAGAGACUGGAAUCGAUUACGCAUUGUGUGACAUCUCCCAGGCUCAUCCCUGCCUCUCACACUCUAUGGAAUGCACAGUGCCCAACAGCUACAAACCCAGUCACCUGUCAGUUCCAACAGAAACGCGCCAAGCUGUCCAAGUUCAAGGACGAGGAGGAGAGCCUGCAGUCUUGACUUACAGAAUCUUAGACUUACAGACCCAUCCUUAAUACAGCGCCACCUUUCA